UACGUAGGGUGCAAGCGUUGUCCGGAAUUAUUGGGCGUAAAGAGCUUGUAGGCGGUUUGUCGCGUCUGCUGUGAAAUUUCGGGGCUCAACCCCGAACUUGCAGUGGGUACGGGCAGACUAGAGUGUGGUAGGGGAGACUGGAAUUCCUGGUGUAGCGGUGAAAUGCGCAGAUAUCAGGAGGAACACCGAUGGCGAAGGCAGGUCUCUGGGCCAUAACUGACGCUGAGAAGCGAUAGCAUGGGGAGCGAACAGG
rnacentral:rRNA from 1 species